rnacentral:rRNA from 1 species
AAUCGAACCCGGAGAUAGCUGGUUCUCCUCGAAAUAGCUUUAGGGCUAGCCUCGUUUUAGUCUUAUGGAGGUAGAGCACUGAAUUUCCGCGGGGGCGUCAAAGCUUACCAAAGAAUAUCAAACUCCGAAUGCCAUGUAGAUGAUGAACGGGAGUCAGACUGCACGAGAUAAGUUGGGCGGUCAAAAGGGAAAGAGCCCAGACCACCGGCUAAGGUCCCAAAGUGUGUGUUAAGUGGAAAAGGAUGUGGGAAUUCGAAGACAACUAGGAUGUUGGCUCAGAAGCAGCCAUACAUUCAAAGAGUGCGUAACAGCUCACUAGUCGAGAGUCCCUGCGCCGAAAAUGUCCGGGGCUGAAACACAACACCGAAGCCGUGGACUCCGUAAGGAGUGGUAGAGGAGCAUUCUUAAAACCGACGAAGCUGUACCGGUAAGGAGCAGUGGAGGGAUAAGAAGAGAGAAUGCCGGAAUGAGUAGCGAGAGGAAGGUGGGAAUCCUUCCGGCCGAAUAUCUAAGGUUUCCAGAGUAAAGCUGAUCUGCUCUGGGUAAGUCGGGGCCUAAGGAGAGGUCGCAAGACGUAUCCGAUGGACAACAGGUUUAGAUUCCUGUACCGCAUAUAAACAGAACUGUGGGGACGCAUGUGGAAAGCAUAAGCCGGGAAUGGAAAGACCGGUACAAGCGGGGUAGGUGUGUGACAGGCAAAUCCGUCAUAUAAGCCGAAGACGUGAUGUGGAGCGAAAUUAAGUAGUGAAGUAUGUGAGCCAUGUGCCGAGAAAAGCCGCUAUUGUUUUAUAUGUGCCCGUACCGUAAACCGACACAGGUGGAUGAGGAGAGAAUCCUAAGGCCGACGGAAGAAGCAUUGUUAAGGAAUUCGGCAAAAUGACCCCGUAACUUCGGGAGAAGGGGUGCCCACUGAAUGGUGGGCCGCAGAGAAUAGGCUCAAGCAACUGUUUAGCAAAAACACAGGUCUAUGCGAAACCGAAAGGUGAAGUAUAUGGGCUGACGCCUGCCCGGUGCUGGAAGGUUAAGAGGAGAGGUUAGCGCAAGCGAAGCUUUGAAUUUAAGCCCCAGUAAACGGCGGCCGUAACUAUAACGGUCCUAAGGUAGCGAAAUUCCUUGUCGGGUAAGUUCCGACCCGCACGAAAGGCGUAAUGAUUUGAGCACUGUCUCGACAAUGCAUCCGGUGAAAUUGAAGUACCAGUGAAGAUGCUGGUUACCCGCGCCAGGACGGAAAGACCCCAUGGAGCUUUACUCCAGUUUGGUACUGGGAUUCGGUACUGCACGUACAGGAUAGGUGGGAGACUGAGAACUUGGGACGCCAGUUUCAAGGGAGUCGCUGUUGGGAUACCACCCCUGCAGUAUUGGGUUUCUAACCAGCCGCUGUGAUCCAGCGGUGGGACAAUGCCAGGCGGGGAGUUUGACUGGGGCGGUCGCCUCCGAAAGGGUAUCGGAGGCGCUCA